GAACCAGUACCGUGAGGGAAAGGCGAAAAGAACCCCGGCGAGGGGAGUGAAAAAGAACCUGAAACCGUGUACGUACAAGCAGUGGGAGCACAGGUUUACCUGUGUGACUGCGUACCUUUUGUAUAAUGGGUCAGCGACUUAUAUUCUGUAGCAAGGUUAACCGUAUAGGGGAGCCGUAGGGAAACCGAGUCUUAACCGGGCGUUAAGUUGCAGGGUAUAGACCCGAAACCCGGUGAUCUAGCCAUGGGCAGGUUGAAGGUUGGGUAACACUAACUGGAGGACCGAACCGACUAAUGUUGAAAAAUUAGCGGAUGACCUGUGGCUGGGGGUGAAAGGCCAAUCAAACCGGGAGAUAGCUGGUUCUCCCCGAAAGCUAUUUAGGUAGCGCCUCGUGAAUUCAUCUCCGGGGGUAGAGCACUGUUUCGGCUAGGGGGCCAUCCCGGCUUACCAACCCGAUGCAAACUGCGAAUACCGGAGAAUGUUAUCACGGGAGACACACGGCGGGUGCUAACGUCCGUCGUGAAGAGGGAAACAACCCAGACCGCCAGCUAAGGUCCCAAAGUCAUGGUUAAGUGGGAAACGAUGUGGGAAGGCCCAGACAGCCAGGAUGUUGGCUUAGAAGCAGCCAUCAUUUAAAGAAAGCGUAAUAGCUCACUGGUCGAGUCGGCCUGCGCGGAAGAUGUAACGGGGCUAAACCAU
rnacentral:rRNA from 1 species